rnacentral:rRNA from 1 species
UACAGAGGGUGCGAGCGUUGUCCGGAAUCACUGGGCGUAAAGGGCGCGUAGGUGGCCUGCUAAGCGUGCGGUGAAAGCUCGGGGCUCAACCCCGAGUCGGCCGUGCGAACUGGUGGGCUUGAGCACUGUAGAGGCAGGCGGAAUUCCGGGUGUAGCGGUGGAAUGCGUAGAGAUCCGGAAGAACACCGGUGGCGAAGGCGGCCUGCUGGGCAGUAGCUGACACUGAGGCGCGACAGCGUGGGGAGCAAACAGG